UAGAGUUUGAUCCUGGCUCAGAUUGAACGCUGGCGGUAUGCUUUACACAUGCAAGUCGAACGGGCUUAGGGGCUUGCUCCUAAGUUAGUGGCGAACGGGUGAGUAAUAUAUCGGAACAUAUCCGGAAGUGGGGGAUAACGUAGCGAAAGUUACGCUAAUACCGCAUAUGCCCUGAGGGGGAAAGCGGGGGAUCGCAAGACCUCGCGCUAUUGGGGUGGCCGAUGGCGGAUUAGCUAGUAGGUGAGGUAAAGGCUCACCUAGGCGACGAUCCGUAGCGGGUCUGAGAGGACGACCCGCCACACUGGAACUGAGACACGGUCCAGACUCCUACGGGAGGCAGCAGUGGGGAAUUUUGGACAAUGGGCGAAAGCCUGUCCAGCCAUACCGCGUGAGUGAAGAAGGCCUUCGGGUUGUAAAGCUCUUUCAGCCGGAAAGAAAUCGUAUCUAUUAAUACUAGAUGGGAUGACGGUACCGGAAGAAGAAGCACCGGCUAACUCGUGCCAGCAGCCGCGGUAA
rnacentral:rRNA from 1 species